GACAGAGGAUGCAAGCGUUAUCCGGAAUCAUUGGGCGUAAAGAGCGUGUAGGCGGCCCGGUAAGUCCGCUGUGAAAGUCGGGGGCUCAACCCUCGAAUGCCGGUGGAUACUGUCGGGCUAGAGUGCGGAAGAGGCGAGUGGAAUUCCUGGUGUAGCGGUGAAAUGCGCAGAUAUCAGGAGGAACACCAAUUGCGAAGGCAGCUCGCUGGGACGUAACUGACGCUGAGACGCGAAAGCGUGGGGAGCAAACAGG
rnacentral:rRNA from 1 species